rnacentral:rRNA from 1 species
UACGUAGGGUGCGAGCGUUAAUCGGAAUUACUGGGCGUAAAGUGUGCGCAGGCGGCCGAGCAAGUCGAGUGUGAAAGCCCCGGGCUUAACUUGGGAAUUGCGCUCGAAACUACAUUGCUGGAGUGUGGCAGAGGAAGGUGGAAUUCCACGUGUAGCGGUGAAAUGCGUAGAGAUGUGGAGGAACACCAAUGGCGAAGGCAGCCUUCUGGGCCAACACUGACGCUCAUGCACGAAAGCGUGGGGAGCAAACAGG